AGAGACUAGGCAUUGAAAAGACUGACCCUACAACACUGACAGAUGAAGAGAUAAACAGAUUUGCAAGAUUGGACAUUGAUCCAGAAACCAUAACUUGGCAAAGAGUGUUGGAUACCAAUGAUAGAUUCCUGAGGAAGAUCACGAUUGGACAGGCUCCAACGGAGAAGGGUCACACACGGACGGUAACAAUUUGUCCCUUUCCAAGGAAAUUAGUUCAGAGGCACUAGAUCUUGCUGCUUCUCUCCUCCUCCAUCCUCUCUCAUACGAUUGAUACUGCCAGGUGUUGUUCUGCCUUCUCCCUUUUAAAAUGGAAGUGAGUAGGUGUGUGGCAUUGAGCACUCCUGACAGCUUUUGCAAUAAAUCCCAUGUGUCACCUGUGUGUUUUU
rnacentral:sRNA from 1 species